GUGUGAUUUUUGCCCAGACAGACUCUGUCUUAUCCAUUCCAUUGCUUCUUAUUUCUUUACAGUUAACCUCAUCACUGAUGUACAAUGCUACUCCACCACCUUUGCCUUUAUUUCUUUCUUUCCUAAACAGCACAGUCUUCAAGACCUGUACUCCAGUCAUGACUACUAUUCCACCAUGUUUCUGUUAUCCCUAUAAUAUCCGGUUUUACUUCCUGCACCAGUAGCUCUAGUUCCUCCAUUUUGUUACCUAGGCUCCUCGCAUUAGUGUACAGACAUCUUAAUUUUUGCCAUUUGGCUUCACUGACAUUCUUUACCCGAUUAGGCAUAGACAGUCUACCACCAGCAUCACCUAUUAUACUGAUAUCUACACUACCCUUCCUACUUAUGUCCAUUCUCCUGCCCACGACUGAGUCCUGUCUUACUUUUGUUUUCUUCCCUCUCAAUGUUAAAUUCCGGCGUGGAGAUUACCUGGCCAUCUCCCAACCAUCUCCCCCACAUUCCUAGUUUAAAGCUCUCUUAAUCAGUUGUGACAGCCUCCAUCCUAGAAGUCUAUUUCCCUCUUUACUCAGGUGAAGUCUGUCCUGAGAGAACAGUCCUCUGUCUGUGAAUGCUUCCCAAUGGCCAUACAUCCCAAAGCCCUCCUUAUAGCACCACUGCCUGAGCCAUCUGUUGCUCGUCAUAAUCUUGUCACACCUUUGUUGCCCUUUUCUAGGAACAGGCAGAAUCCCACUGAAGAUCACCUGAGCCUCGAUUUCCUUAAGCGUCUUCCCCAGCCUGGCAUAGUAUCCCUUGAUACGUUCCAGCGAGAAUCUAGCCGUAUCAUUCAUUCCCAUAUGAAGGACAAUCAACAAAUUCUUUCCCACUCCCAUUAGGAUCCUUUUCAGCCUCAGGUCCACAUCCCGUAACUUAGCACCCGGCAGGCAGCACACCCUUCUGUUCUCCGGAUCAGCUCUAGUUACAGGCCUGUCUGUUCUUCUCAGUAAGGAGUCCCCAGUCAGGUAGACCUGCCUUUUCCUGGUGACAGUGUGAUUCUCCGGUCUGUCCUCUGCUCCCACUGGCUGCAAGUCCUCUCGAUUCCUAUUCACCCUUGCAAUCCUCUGCAACCCAUCCCGUAUCCUCCUGGGGCUCAUAUUUGGUGUUAUCUCCAUUGAUUCUUCCCCUCUUCCUGUAGGACUAGCUGCUCUUCUCUUUUUCCUUGCCCUCUCACCUUCAGCGACCACUCCUCUCCUUCCUCAAAAUGUCGUCUGAAAAACAAACUCUGCUGCAUUUGAUUGGCUAGAUAGGAGAGAAGAGUGUUGCUCUGAGUUUUAACGGAAUGUAUCACUUUGAAUUAGCAGCUGUUUUUUAAAGACCACUGAAGCUUUGGCUUAAUUUUGGGCUAUUGCUCAGCUAAUUUCACCGUGAGAGACGGUUCUAGGCAAUGACAGAGCAGAAUUUCAUCGAGAGUUUUGCUUUGCCAGUUUGGAAGGUUUUUCGUUCAAAUGAAAGGCCUUGGCUGCUGCAUCUUGGAAUGCUGCCUUCUUGCUUAUUGAUAAGCAGUACGAACUCUGGAGUGUGGACAUCAUAUGUUGCAUUUGCCUCUCAUCUGCGUUCUGCACUCCAGCAUUAGCUGCAGAGUUGUGGAAUAGGGUCCUGAGAGCCAUUCGCGAGGUCAGGGCUCUUGGUUGCUUUCUGGCACACCCUUGUUAAAAUUCUGCCCCCAAUCCAGAGGUCAGAGUUGGGGUGUUUCCCCUGCCCUCAGUGGGGUCACUCCCUCUUCGGAUAUGUGAAAGCGCCCUGCCAGAGAACCGCUCAUAACAGAAUCUCUGACAGCCACAUUUUGCCUUUUAAGAAUGAGCCGGGUCUCACCAAGACAUGGCCUAGGAGAGGAGGGACACCUCUGGGCCUCCCACUUCAAAUGACACAACGUGAACAGUACCCAGUGGUCAGGAUGUAUGUCAGGAGCCAGUUCUCGGCAUUUCUUAUCACUCUCUGUUGCUGUAAUGGCUCCCAGUGGUUCACUUGAGCAAGGCAAGCCACUUUGCUGCCCGCUGCCCUGCAGUCUCCCCUGGUGCAGUGCUAGUGGAGCUGGCAAACACAGGUUUGCAGGUUGUCCUCCCACCUCUUCCUCGCUGGGCCCCAGUCAUGGCAGCGGUGGUCUUUCUGCAGUAGUUUCUGCUGUCCUGGGAACACGUUUUCUGAGGCCCUGUACAGCUCAUUGUGCGCUGUUUCCUGGCAGCUUCCUCUUGUGAGUGCUAUGUGUUCUAGCACACCAGUUUCAGAGCAGGUCUCCUAGCAGCCAUGGUGUGAGCAUGCUGCCAGCUGGCCGGAGACACUUGCGAGGAUCAAGGGUGACAAGGAGAUCUGUAAUUCUGAGUGCCCUGGACUGUGAGUGCGUGUCCAAAUGACUUGCCAGCAGGGUAGCCCUCACUCGGGUGCACAGUGUGGAGAGACUGACGCACGUGAAGGUCCAGUACAGCAAAGUGUGGAAGAAUAACAGCUGCUCUGGGGCACAGGAAACCUGCCCCUUUCAUGCUGAACAAGACCGUAUUUUCUGCACUCGCUUGCCUGUGAAACCUGACGCACUAUUGGGCAGCGCCAGGCAGGGUGGGUGACAGCGCUGGCAUGGGCAAAUCCAGGAUAUGGCUCAGGCCCAGGCCAUGCCUGUGAACAUGCCAGGCUCUCCAGGACUCUUCAGUGAAUCGAAGGCUGCAGAGACAACGGCAGAAGGUUCAGGAAGAGAGGCCUGCCCUUUGUACGAGGGACCACUGCUGCAUCGCUGAGCAGGAGAGGGAUCGGGUGUCUGAGAAUGUUAGAGGACUGAAUGCCUCACCAGUCCUUGGGGGAAAUGGAGAACAAAAGGAUCUGUCCCUGGAGCUGCAGGGGGAUGUGCAAAGGGGACUUUGCUCAUAUGUGCAGCUUCCAGGCAGAAGGAGCCAAGUGGGGAGAAGAGGACUCUGACGUAAUACGUCCCUCGUUGCAGAGAAAGGAGGGGGCAGGAGCAAGCAUUCCGGAGGGAGUGAACGCCUGAGAAAGCACAUUCAAAGACACAGGCAGUUGGCGCCAUUAUCCCAUUAAGAGGCCCCUGCAUCAGCCCUGUACAUACCACCACCUCGUAUAGUGCUGCAGUACAGGAUGGUGGCAGCUGAGUUUGGUCUGUGCCAUACUGGUCUGUUCCUUCCUGUGCAUUCCCAUGGCAUUCUGUCUCUGCCAAUGAGCUGGACAGAGCGACUCAGGCUCCCCGGGCCAUGCAUUCGUACCCCUGUCGUCCGCAGAAGUGCCUGGUGUGUAGUAUUAUGGUUUUGAUCUAGUUUGUAAUUGCUGCUGGGCUUCCACUUUUGUGUGCUUAAUAAACAUGAUUUGCUCCA